UACGUAGGGUGCGAGCGUUAAUCGGAAUUACUGGGCGUAAAGCGUGCGCAGGCGGUUUUGUAAGCCAGAUGUGAAAAGCCCCGGGCUCAACCUGGGAACCGCGCUUGAGACUGGCACGCUCGAGUUCGGGAGAGGAUGGUGGAAUUCCCAGUGUAGAGGUGAAAUUCGUAGAUAUUGGGAAGAACACCGAUGGCGAAGGCAGCCAUCUGGACCGACACUGACGCUGAGGCGCGAAAGCGUGGGGAGCAAACAGG
rnacentral:rRNA from 1 species